GACGAACGCUGGCGGCGUGCUUAACACAUGCAAGUCGAACGGUAAGGCCCUUCGGGGUACACGAGUGGCGAACGGGUGAGUAACACGUGGGUGAUCUGCCCUGCACUUCGGGAUAAGCCUGGGAAACUGGGUCUAAUACCGGAUAGGACCACUGCCUGCAUGGGUGGUGGUGGAAAGCUUUUGCGGUGUGGGAUGGGCCCGCGGCCUAUCAGCUUGUUGGUGGGGUGAUGGCCUACCAAGGCGACGACGGGUAGCCGGCCUGAGAGGGUGACCGGCCACACUGGGACUGAGAUACGGCCCAGACCCCUACGGGAGGCAGCAGUGGGGAAUAUUGCACAAUGGGCGCAAGCCUGAUGCAGCGACGCCGCGUGAGGGAUGACGGCCUUCGGGUUGUAAACCUCUUUCAGCACCGACGAAGCGCAAGUGACGGUAGGUGCAGAAGAAGGGCCGGCCAACUACGUGCCAGCCGCCGCGGUAA
rnacentral:rRNA from 1 species